rnacentral:rRNA from 1 species
GACGAACGCUGGCGGCGUGCUUAACACAUGCAAGUCGAACGGAAAGGCCCUGCUUUUGUGGGGUGCUCGAGUGGCGAACGGGUGAGUAACACGUGAGUAACCUGUCCUUGACUUUGGGAUAUCUUCAGGAAACUGGGGCUCAUACCGGAUAGGAGCUCCUGCUGCAUGGUGGGGGUUGGAAAGUUUCGGCGGUUGGGGAUGGACUAGCGGCUUAUCAGCUUGUUGGUGGGGUAGUGGCUUACCAAGGCUUUGAAGGGUAGCCGACCUGAGAGGGGGACCGGCCACAUUGGGACUGAGAUACGGCCCAGACUCCUACGGGAGGCAGCAGUGGAGAAUAUUGCACAAUGGGCGGAAGCCUGAUGCAGCAACGCCGCGUGCGGGAUGACGGCCUUCGGGUUGUAAACCGCUUUCGCCUGUGACGAAGCGUGAGUGACGGUAAUGGGUAAAGAAGCACCGGCUAACUACGUG